GCCUCAGUAUCUGUACAUGACCUGGUUGUGGUACAGCUUCGGUAUGUUUUCAAUAUUUGCUCUAAUGUAUAAAUUGGUAUGCUUGAUGUAUUAGUGGAUAUGCUCUAUGUAUGAGUAUCUGUGAGGACACCGCCUCAGUAUAUGUACCCAUUAUAUGCUCAAUGUAUAAGUUACUAUGAGGACGCUGCCUCAGUUUAUGUACCCACUAUAGGCUCAAUGUGAGUGGUAUAAUAUGUGAAUGAAGUCCUGUUAAAACACAGCCUCAAUUUAUCUCCCUCAUGUAAACUUAAUAUGUGUACAGGCAUA